GUAAAUUGUAUGUCAUGUAUAGUUUGUCACAACUAUAAUAAUAAUAAUAGUAAUACUACUAAUAAUAAUAAUAAACAACUAAUCAUACCUGGCCAUGAGCCCAGCUAUCAAGUCAGGACAGCAUUCACUCAGUCUGACGAUACAAUGGCCUAAGCCACAUGUCACUGAGGUUGUAGGAAGUACUAAGGAGCCAGGACUCACUCACUUGUAUAUGCACAAGGAAAAGACCAAGACACCUCCAAUUGCCUCAACUCACUAGUAAGCAACUAUGGAAGGAAGAUGAGGGACAUGGAAAGAAACGGUCCUCUGUGUAAUCACAAAGGGCUAUGUCAGCAGGCCCCGGAAGCCUGUGUCUUUCCCAAGGACUCAGAGUUCUCAUCUUCCUGCAUUUGGAUUGUCUUCCGCAUCUGUUGCCCAGCAACCACCUGGUCAUCCUGAACCUGGGUACCAACCUCGGAUGACUCCAGUCAUCACAUACAACUAUGACCAGCCUGUGUCCACACAAGAGACUGCAAAGGAAUACUGUGUGCUUGGGGAGAGGGGUGUUGUUGACAUUGUGGUGAUUCUGGGUGAGGUAGUGUCAGUUCAAGAUGAGACUAGAAAAGCCAGAUGGGGAACCAGUGGAAAAUGUAAAGGAUAAGAGUCUUGGGCAGCACCUAAAAAUGUGUGAGUGAGGGGAAGAAAAAACAAUGGAAUGGUAUGUCACAGAGAAAGUGCUCACCCACCCGUGUGUGUGUGUGUGUGUGUGUGUGUGUGUGUGUGUGUGUGUGUGUGUGUUGACAGAGGACAACUAAAGAUGUAUGUAUUAAGAAAGAAAAGAACUGGUGAGAAGUGAGUAGAGUCUAAUUGAUGAGGAUGCACCUCAGUGACAGGGCACAUGCCUUUAGGUUCAGUCCCCAAUAUGUAUGCAUGCAUGUAUGUACACACACAUAUGUGUAUAUACACACAUACACACAGAUACACACACACACACACACACACACACACACACACACACACACACACACACACAUAAAGCCAGCCUGUACUCCUGUACUCAGAAAGCUGAGGCGGGAGGAUUUUCUGCGAGUUCAAGACCAGCCCCCAACAAACAAAAUCCAGAGUUGCUGAGCUGAAGGAAGUAAUGAGGUUAAGACCACAGGCAGGGGGUUGGGCCUUGGAAGGAGGCAGACCGAGGAAAUGAUGGUGACUUAGCCCCUAAGUGUAUUCUCAUGAAGGCCACCUGGAAGCUGCUCAGUCCCCAGGGCAAGUCAUCAUGAAGCAGAUCAGUCGUGCAAAAUAAAAAUUAAGUGCCACGACAAUAACAAAGAGCCACAGAAAAACCUAAGACAGUGGGCGUUAUUAAGGGAAUGUCUGUGGUUUCGGAAGAGAAACAAAUUCUUGUUGGAUUUCCCGGAAAGCAAGAGGCCAGGUCACCCAGAAUGAAGGCAGUGUCGAAGUGGAUGAAAAGGCUUUGAAAUUCCGGUGACAACUGUAGAUAUUUAUGGGAUACAGUACAAUUCUUAGUUUCUAUACCACUGAAACCCCUUUGAGGACCCAGAACACAACCUGUAAUACUGCAGUGGCCAUGAAGACAGCUGGAGGAGUCCUGAGAGGAGUCCCUGGGUCUGCCGACCUGGGGCUCCGGGGCAGUGUUCUAGGAAGGCUGCUGCUGAGUGCUGCCGGGCAUGCUCGUCCAGCCUACCCCAGCACUAGGUGCCAUGCCUGCUUGCCUGCUGCCAUGCUCCCCGCCACGAUGGUCAUGGACUCUAACUCUCUGAAACUAAGUUCCAAGCAAACUCGUCCAUGAGUCGACUCGGUCAUGGUGUCUUAUCACAGCAGCAGAAAAGGAACGAUGACAGCCCUUUGAGGACACUCACUAAACUUUGCUUAGCUCUGUGGUGGAGCACAGGUGAUCCACUUCUGCUGUGGAUAUCGCUCUAUAUAAAUAAAACACUGAUGGCCAGUGACUAGAGAGGAAGUAUAGGCGGGACAAGGAGAGAGGGAAAUUGGGGAAACAGGA